rnacentral:lncRNA from 1 species
GGGCGCUUUCGGCUCCUCUCAGAUGUACAACAACAGCUUUGGGCCCAACUUCCGGGGCCCCGGACCGGGAGGGAUUGUCAACUACAACCAGAUGCCCCUGGGGCCCUAUGUGACUGACAUCUAGCCAUCCUCGUGACUUCCCCCUGUUUCAGCGUUCCUUUCCAGCUGAGCCAAGCCACCUGCCCCACGGGAGAGAAAAGCUACAGCCUUUUUAGGAGUUGGUGCCGUGUCGGGGUACAAAAGGGAAAACAAGCAAUUCUAUCACACGGAGGACAGGCCCAGGCUGGCUGUGCAAGAGUCCAGAAGUGCCACCUCAUCGUAGCUGAAGUGUUCUUCCACACAGCAUCCCAUCGGACAGCCACGCCCGGCAAGGUCCCAGCACCAUUUCCAGAGUGACUUACUUAGAGGAGAUUCCAUUUACCUGUAUUUUUUUUUUUUUUUUUGCACUUUCCUACUGAAGAUGAGAACAUGUUUGUCUUGAUAAAAAGUUGGAUGACGUGUGGAAGAUUCAGAUUCACGACGCUCCUGUCUGUCACCGGCUCCAGACCUCAAGGGGAAGCUCAGCUCUUUGGAGGCCCUUGGUGCUGCUGCUCUAUGGACUCACUGCGGGGCUGGGGAGAAAUGCAGCAUCCAGUGUUCUGGAAACCCUUAGUAUGUCCCCCCCCCAGCCCCUUGACUGCACCCGUGUGACUACCCUUCCGCUCCAGCCCCCUGCCUGCCUGCUUGGGACCCUAGUGCUAGCGGGGGAGGGGAUCAGGUCUGGAGAGUGGCUGCUGACGUCGA